rnacentral:rRNA from 1 species
GCGUUAUCCGGAUUUACUGGGCGUAAAGCGCGUUAAGGCGGCUCGCUAAGUUGGUGGUGAAAUUUCAGGGCUCAACCCUGAAACUGCCUUCAAUACUGGCGAGCUUGAGUGCGAGAGAGGAAGGUGGAAUUCCCGGUGUAGUAGUGAAAUGCGUAGAUAUCGGGAGGAACACCAGUGGCGAAGGCGGCCUUCUGGCUCGCAACUGACGCUGUAGCGCGAAAGCGUG